GACGAACGCUGGCGGCGUGCCUAAUACAUGCAAGUCGAGCGGACAAAGAGGAGCUUGCUCCGCGAUGUUAGCGGCGAACGGGUGAGUAACAUGUGAGUAACCUGCCCUUGACUGUGGGAUAACUUCAGGAAACUGGGGCUAAUACAGGAGAGGAGCUCCUGCUGCAUGGUGGGGGUUGGAAAGCUUCGGCGGAUGGGGAUGGACUCGCGGCUUAUCAGCUUGUUGGGGGGGUAGUGGCUUAGCAAGGCAUUGGCGGGUAGCCGGCCUGAGAGGGUGGCCGGCCACCUUGGGCCUGCGGUACGGCCCAGACUCCUACGGGAGGCAGCAGUGGGGAAUAUUGCCCAAUGGGCGGAAGCCUGAUGCAGCAACGCCGCGUGCGUGAUGACGGCCUUCGGGUUGUAAACCGCUUUCGCCUGUGACGAAGCGUGAGUGACGGUAAUGGGUAAAGAAGCACCGGCUAACUACGUG
rnacentral:rRNA from 1 species